AGCAAGCAAGAAUUUUUUUUCUUCCUCUCAUUUCGGCAGUAAGAAGGAAGAAACCAUUUUUUUGUCAUGGGUUUGCUGAGCUUCUUGGGCAACAAGGUAUCGUAGCGACAACGGGGCAGAGCAGCGGAGACCUGUGGCAGAGCGAGGCAGCAACCGGCCAUCUGACGGAGGUGAAAUCUAAAGCGGAGUGGAGGCAGAGGCGGAGGACCGGAGUCUCGCAUUCUUGCACUCUCGCACAGGAAGAAAGAAAAAACCUGCUUACACUUUGAGAAAUGGGAAGAUAAGAAAGCAUGCGUACAAUUAAAAAAAAUCAACAGCAUGGUGUACACUUUGGG